rnacentral:snRNA from 1 species
GUAGUCACUUCCACAGCAUGUAUACUAAAAUUGGAACAAUACAGAGAAGAUUAUUAUGCCCUCUGUGCAAGGAUAACAUGCAAGUUUUUGAAGUGUUCCAUAUUUUU